rnacentral:rRNA from 1 species
CCUACGGGAGGCAGCAGUAGGGAAUCUUUCACAAUGGGCGAAAGCCUGAUGGAGCAACGCCGCGUGCAGGAUGAAGGCCUUCGGGUUGUAAACUGCUUUUAUAAGCGAGAAAUAUGAUGGUAACUUAUGAAUAAGGAUCGGCUAACUACGUGCCAGCAGCCGCGGUCAUACGUAGGAUCCGAGCAUUAUCCGGGGUGACUGGGUGUAAAGAGUUGCGUAGGUGGCAUAAUAAGUAGCUAGUGAAAUCUGGUGGCUCAACCAUUCAGACUAUUAGCUAAACUGUUAAGCUCGAGACCGUUAGGGGUAACUGGAAGUUCUAGUGUAGGAGUGAAAUCCGUAGAUAUUAGAAGGAACACCAAUAGCGUAGGCAGGUUGCUGGGACGGUUCUGACACUAAGGCACGAAAGCGUAGGGAGCAAACGGGAUUAGAUACCCCUGUAGUC